rnacentral:sRNA from 1 species
UGCAACCAUUUCUUGUUUGGAAAAAGGGUCGAGCCACUCAGCCUCCUUCAAUCCCACCACCAAACCUAUUCUUCUUUCUCUUUCACUACAACCCUUCUUAAAUCAGUGUUCUGGUCGUGGUUCUCUCUCGUCGAGCCCUCCUUCCCCUUCAGUGGAGCCUCGGUUCUCUUUCGUUGAGCUUUCGUAGGUCGCGCAUUGAAACCCUAAUUUUCCCUCAUUCGAACCAUCAUUGUGCGGCCUUGGUACCGUGGUUAAUUGAUACUUUUCGUGCUUGCGUUUUGAUUUCCGCAAUGACCUCCAAAGGUCUUAGAUCGAAGAUUGAUCACGAGAGUAGAGCCA